AGCCUGCCAAGAGAAGAUAAGCAAUCAGGACUUGUCUGAUAAUUGACCUGUCAGGGAAUCAGCUCACGACUAUGUAAGUUGCACAACCGUUUGGGGUGGUCGUUUAUUGCAUUGUAAGUUGCUCAACUAGUUAUGUAUUAUUGACGGGUGGCCGUUUAUUGCAUUGUAUCAUUAAUCAACUUGAGCAACUGUGCUAUGAGUAGAAUAUCUGCGGACCACAUACAAAUUUUUGUGUUCUCAGUUCUUGAUCUUCUCUCUUGUUUUUGCAUACUUUACUUGUUCAUUGGUAAGUUGAUAGGAAGGUAUGAUCUUUAUCUGAUUAACGAUCACCAGUAUCAGGAUGGAUUAUAUACCUGGUGGAAAACAUCGAUUGUAAGAAAGUUAAAAACUUUGUGAUUAGUUCUUAGUUUGAAGGAUGAAUGGGGGAAGAGAGGCUCUGUGCUAGAGGCCCCCUUACCGGUCUCUAUCAUGAGUUCCUAGUUGGAAGCACGAAUGGGGGAAGCGUUGUGCUACAGGACUCCAUCCAAAUUUGCAGACCAUAUACAAAUUUGUGUAAACUCUCUCUUCUUGAUUAUCUCUCGUGUUUCUGCAUAUGUUACUUGUUCAUUUCUCGGGUAGGUUGACAGGAAGGUAUGAUCUUCAUCUGAUUAAUGGCCAUGAGUAUCUGGAAAGACUAUAUACCUGGUGUGAAAACAUUGGUGAUACCAUUUAAGAAAGUCACAAGCUUUGUUAUGAGUUCCUAGUUUGAAGGCACGAACGGGGGAAGCACUGUGCUGGAUGACCCAUUACCAGUGUCUAUGAUGAGUUCCGAGUUGGAAGCACAAAUGGGGGAAGCAUUCUGCUACAGAACACAUACCAAUUUGCAGACCACAUGCAAAUUUUAGUACCUGGUGGGAAAACAUUUGUGGAACACUAUUUAGGGAAGUUAAGAGUUAUGUGAUGAAGGCAUGAAUGAAGGAAGCGCUGUGCUAGAGGACCCCUUACCAGUCUCUCUAUGAUGAGUUCCUAGUUGGAAGGCAUGAAACAGGAAGCAUUGUGCUACAGGACCCCUAGUUGGAGUUCUGGAACAAUAAAAUGCAGCGCUAUGGUACCGCCCCAACCCAGCCACAACGCGACCAAAAGAAAAAGAGCAGGAAUCCUGAUGAUCAUAGAUGGCAUAUUGCAUCCAUAUCAUGUGGUUCCAACAGGUGAUGAUCAUUGGCUACUCUAAUGGAAUACUGGUUUAAUUAUCAGAAGCAAGCAAAAGAAUGAUGCAUAUGGUGGACGCAAGGUGCCUCAUCAACAGUAAAAUUGAGCACAGUCCAAGAACUAACAGACAAGGCAAAGACCUGCAGCCUCCUUACUAGGAGCUUUAGCUACAAAGUGCCAAAAGAUAGAUGGAUGAAACACGACUAUAUGUAAGUGUUUUCUAACUUUUAGAUGUUUCCAUACUUCCGAAACCAGUAUUUCACUGUGUUGCUUAAGAAGACACUCCAGCAUUCAGGGACUAGGGACUCGGAGGAGGAAUGGUACACUUAAUUUUUCUUUUUCCCCCGUUCACAGGCGGAAUGUUUUGUCUCAUGAAUCCGCUGCAAGGGGGUUUCUCCUACAUGUGCAUGACUUAUCUACAUAAGUGUGUGUGCUUUACAGAUUUAUAUUUUCAGUAUUCCUUGGGGCAAUAAGAGGGUACAGUAAUACGUUAAAAGAAGAAAUAUAAACAAAAAACUGGCCCUUUCUCUUAAAGAAUAUAUGCGUGCAAAGAUUCUUCUCAUACAUUGCUGUAAUCAAUCAAGACAUAGCAUAACAAACAUCCAGCUCCUUGAAAAUGCAUAGAGGGACUUAAAAAACAGAAGAUACGUUGCAAUAAGGAAUUCACGAAAACCUAGCAAGAAAAGGCAAAUGGGAAAAUGAUGGGAUUAUUUACGUACAGAUAGCUAAGGCUCCUUGUUAGUUAAAGAAAAUGAACCAGAGCAAGCUAACUUGGGAAACUGAGUCUAGCACAGAAACUGAACAGAAUGCACAUUGUGCUCUGACCCUGUUUUCCAUUAAAAUAGGGAAGAGGGAUGCAGUAAGAUUUCGAAAAGGACAUUUUUUUAUUUUAACCUGUCAGAUUCUUUCUAGUCCACAGAUUGUUUCCCAGAUCAUACGUCACAAGAACAUAUCAAAUAUCAUGAAAGUCAACAACCACCAUGGGCUCUACACAUACUUUGAUGAGAAGUAGAGACAAUUUAUUUAGGCUACCCACUAGACUAUAAAGUUUCAGCUGCAUUGCAGCACUGCCCAUGUAAAAACAUGACUUCACAGGAGAAUAUAGCAGUUGUUACUAUUCCCAACAUCUAGGAUCUUAACUCCAUCUAAGGCUUAUAGCGAGUGUCUAACGAUUGUUGAAUCUAAUUAUAACACAUGAAAUGGUAUAAUCCUAACCAACAAUGUGAUUUUAGUCGAUUAAUAUAAGUUUUUUUUUAUCUCGUCUUCUGUGCAUUUUAGACAUU